UACGGAGGGUGCAAGCGUUAAUCGGAAUUACUGGGCGUAAAGGGUGCGUAGGCGGUUCGUUAAGUCUGUCGUGAAAUCCCCGGGCUCAACCUGGGAAUGGCGAUGGUGACUGCAAGGCUAGAGUUUGGCAGAGGGGGGUAGAAUUCCACGUGUAGCAGUGAAAUGCGUAGAUAUGUGGAGGAACACCGAUGGCGAAGGCAGCCCCCUGGGUCAAAACUGACGCUCAUGCACGAAAGCGUGGGGAGCAAACAGG
rnacentral:rRNA from 1 species